UACGGCCACGUCACGUUGAAACACCGGUUCCCGUACGAUUGCCGUAGUUAAGCAACAUCAAGCCUGGUUAGUAUCUAGAUGGGUGUCCGCUUGGGAAUACCAGCUUCUGUA